rnacentral:lncRNA from 1 species
UUAGAAAAUUGCGUACGGUAAAAACGCAGCGGAAAAAGAAAUCAAACAAAUUUGAUUUUUGAAAACUCUCGAGAUCAAAUCUCAAAACCACGCAAUUAGGAUCCCUCAUGUUUUAAGAUUAAAGAAGAAAAACAAGAUCGAAUCUUUACCUUUUUCGCGGAUAGAUCCUUGCCUCAAUUUGAUGAUCGUGGAAUCGGGUUCUCUUGAAGCCGCACACGCGUCCGGCCUCUAUAGGUAUCCACACGAGGUUCUUGAUUUGAUCGAUAUCCUCACCGGGGUGCUAGCUCCCUUGCAAAAGGACGUCUAUUUGCUAAAAGAUGGAAGAGAGGAGAAGAGACAUGACGGCUAGGAUUUUCUAAAAACUCCCGUAUAUUAUAUAUAGGAAUAUAAUCCUAUUCCUAAUGACAAUUAAGGAUAAGUAUAAAUCUAGAUUAAAUUUAUCCUUUCCUUAAUUGGUUAGAUCGAUCAAAUCCUAAUUUGAUUCGACUUGAAUUUUAUAUUAAUUUAAUCUUAUCAAAUUAAUAAUGCAACAUUUGCACAUAAGUCCUCUUAUAAUUUACUAACUAUUAGUAAGUCCUCUCCUGUAACAUUUACACCUUAAUACCACUAAUUUGUAAUAAUUACAAAUUAGUCCAAUUAUCAACAUAUUGACAAUU